GACGAACGCUGGCGGCGUGCCUAAUACAUGCAAGUAGAACGCUGAAGAGAGGAGCUUGCUCUUCUUGGAUGAGUUGCGAACGGGUGAGUAACGCGUAGGUAACCUGCCUUGUAGCGGGGGAUAACUAUUGGAAACGAUAGCUAAUACCGCAUAACAAUGGAUGACACAUGUCAUUUAUUUGAAAGGGGCAAUUGCUCCACUACAAGAUGGACCUGCGUUGUAUUAGCUAGUAGGUGAGGUAAUGGCUCACCUAGGCGACGAUACAUAGCCGCCCUGAGAGGGUGAUCGGCCACACUGGGACUGAGACACGGCCCAGACUCCUACGGGAGGCAGCAGUAGGGAAUCUUCGGCAAUGGGGGCAACCCUGACCGAGCAACGCCGCGUGAGUGAAGAAGGUUUUCGGAUCGUAAAGCUCUGUUGUAAGUCAAGAACGGGUGUGAGAGUGGAAAGUUCACACUGUGACGGUAGCUUACCAGAAAGGGACGGCUAACUACGUG
rnacentral:rRNA from 1 species